rnacentral:tRNA from 2 species
UUUAAUAUGGCAGAAAAGUGCAAUAGAUUUAAAUCCUAUUUAUAAAGAUUAUAACACAUAAUAUCUUUUAUUAAAA